GACUUUAAAAAAAAAAAAAACCCACCUCCAAUAAUGGCCUUUAGCAACACCAUUUAUUUGCUUAUAAUCCUGUGGGCUGGCAAUCUGGGCAGAGCUCUGCCAGUGUGAUCCACCACUGCUCCAUGGGUGCCAGUUGGGACUCCACACACCUUUGUGGUUAGUGAGCAGUUUGGUUGGAGGCUGAUUGACCUUGACUGGCCUCAUGUUUGUGUCUCAAAGUCGGCUGGGGCUGUCAGCUGAGAUUCCUUAGUUCUGCUCCCCAUGGCCUUUCCCCAUGGCCAGCCCAGGCUGAGAUCUGAGAUUGAAGAGGGUGAGAACAGAAAGUACAAGGUCUUCUCUUGACUUGAAAGCUAGUCCAGAAUCAAGGGAAAUAAAGCCCACCUUUUGAUGGAAGGAGCUUCAAAGAAUUUGUAGUCAUUUCCAAUCCACAAAGAGUAGGUACCCACUAUUUGUUGAAUAAAGCCCUAUCGAAAGCUUUUUAGCUAUCCAGAUGCAAAUUACUGGCCAAUCUUUGGACAGAAUUAUAAAAUUCUACCCAAAAUUCUACCAAAUUACUCGUACUUGUAAAAUUCUACCAAAUUACUGGCCAACUUUUGGGUAGAAUUGUAAAA